CCCGCCUUCCCUCACGUCCUCCUUCCUCCUCCCACCCACACCCAAGCGCUCCCCCCUCUCCCCCCUUUCCCCGUGCCUCGGUUUCCCCCACCCCAUCGGUGUCACCCCCGUUGGUUGGGGACCCACCCUUCCGUGUGCCACCCACCCCUCGACCCUCGCCCUCCCAAAUCCACUCGCAUCCCACUAAUGCACUCGCCUUGACACGCUGACCUGCUCCGGCCCCCCCCCCCCCCUGCAUCCCGCACCCCCCCUGGGGACCAUCGGUGUCACCGUGGCAACGAGUGAUGGUCAGCAGCCGGUGACCUGGGAGCCCUGGAGGGAGCCCUGGCCCUGCCCGGGGUCAGCGGGGUCAAUCAAUCUCAUUGCUAUGCACAGAGAUCUUCGUUACUGCGUAACAUAAAAACACAUCGAUCUCUCCGCCCGGCGCUGUGCGCCUGCGUGGGGCAGAGGGCUCUGAGCCUGAAAUGGGAAAUUUCAGCAUCCAAAGCACUGCAGCAUCUCCAUCCCCGGCGCCCGGUGGCAUCUCCCAGCCCCACACCAGCAGUGCAGCUCCUGCUUCUCCUGCUCCUGUGAGCUCUCAUGGCUCUGCUUUGAGCCUCUGAACUCCCAGCGCUUGUGCAAAGCGGUCGAUCCCUGCACAGAUGGCCCCAAAUCCUCCGUGCCCUGGGAAAUGGGGCUGCCUGGAUCCGGGUGUUCCACCAACUGGUGCGAACCAAAAGGCCAACUCUGCCUGGGCUGUGGCCGCCUCUGCCCGCUGAGCCCGUCCCACUCGUCACACUGAUGGGCCUGGGAAGGGUGUCCUCUGCUGAGGCGCUGCUGCCCACAUCCCUGAGCAUCCAUGUGUCAGUGUCCCUGAGCAUCCU
ensembl:lncRNA